CAGAGGCAGUGAGUGCAGGCUUCUCGAGAGCUGUGCCCGGGCCCUGCAGCAUGGGGCACGGUGACCCCUGCACAAGGACCCCCUGAGCAGGAUGGGGGUGACCUGGGGUCAGCCUUCUCAGGGCAGCUGCAGACAUCCUCCAGGUCUGAAGUGGAAGAAGGAACCACGAGAGGCACCGUCCACUGCAGAGGGCAUGACCCACCUGCCCUCUCCCCAGCUCUUUCCCCCUCAACAUACCUUUGCUGCUGGUCUCUUUUAUUUUUAAGGAUUUUAUUUUUAAGUCAUCUCUACACCCCACAUGGGGCUUGAACUCACACCCUGGGAUGGAGAAUCACAUGCUUUGCUGACUAAGCCGUCGGGCGCCCGGUCCCUCCUUGCUGCUUAUUUGACAGCCAAGUUCAUGGAGCCACCUGGAAGCAGCUGUGUGUCUUUCGUUUUUUAACUGCACUUUUAUUUUUUAUUAAUUUUAUUUAUUUGUUCAUGAGAGACACGGAGGGAGAGGCAGAGACACAGGCAAAGGGAGAAGCAGGCUCCCAGCGGGCCAGAUGUGGAACUUGAUCCCAGGACCCUGGGGUCACGCCCUGAGCCACAGGCCCAUGCCCAUCCCCUGAGCCCCCUGUAGCGGCUGGCAGCUCUCUAACAGUGACAUGUUCUGAGAAGUUUCUCCAUCCCUUUCUACCUCAGGCCUCCCCGUCCACCUGCAGCAUAGAUAGUCUUAACUCUCCCUCUCAGUGCUCCCUGGCGGGAGAGCCCUGCAUUCUAGCCAGGGGGCCCCUCCUGAGGGGUUCUUUGCAAAUACAAAUAGCUCUGAAAGGAAUAACCCAUUGCCUCUGCUCUGUGGGAGAUGCUCCCAGGCUCAGAGCACCUGGGGAAGACAUGGGGUGAACAGCAGGCCCGAGACUCUGGGGAGUCUCCCAGCACGGGUCCCGCUGGCUCUAAGGACAGAUGGUUUGGCAUCAUCAAAUCAAAGUCUCCCUGCAGAAGGAAGAAGUCCUCCAAGGACGGGAUGCCCUGCAGUCCCCCAGGGGACACCUGCAUGCCCGAGACUCUGGGGAGCAGGAAAGUCGGCUGAGCAGCUGUGCACGGGGUGGUGGUGGGGAAGGUCCUGUGGGGUCACCAGCCCAUCUUCUCACUUCCUCCUACCUAAGGGGGUUCAGGGCUCAGACAAAGCUCCCCAGACUCCGCUGGAGGUAACAGAAGGAAUAGCACAGAAGGAUCCAUGACUGCUGCCCCUUGCAUCUUGGGGGAGAUGAAUAAUGGGUCCAAAUACAUGCCGAGCAAUCACAGCUUUUUCAGAUUUGUACUUGACACAUUUUUACAAAGGAUUUAGGUGAGCCUCAGGAAGCGCGUAAUAAAACAGUAAAAUCUGAAUAAAAACGUAAGAUGUGAUUUUUGUGGAUUCUGGUGGGGACCAGAAAGAUAUGAGUGAAGGAAACAGUGGGAAAGAGAGAUGAUCACAAAGUUAUAAGAAGGCCCCUAUGCCGGCGGAAAAAUAAAACAGAUAAGGCAGGACCCGAAUGAUGGCUCCCUCAGGAGGGAGCGUUUGGCUUUGAGUCUCCUGGUGGCCAAAGUGAAGAGGAAAAUGGUCAUUACCUUCUUCUCAUUGUCCAUAAGAAGAAAACACCAGUUUCUCAGAGGCACCAAGUCGUUUGCUCAAGGCUUAGGGCUGACACCAACAUUAACCAUGUGGCUUCACUUCCUACGUGAGGCGUACAAUCGACAAGUUCCUUCGCACACAUGGGGGCAAAGUUCACUUAGUGAUUUUCACUUCCUUGCCUCAGGACACAGAUCAGGGUGAGUGUCUCCAGGGGGGAGACAGGGAGGCGAAUUUCAUAGGUCAUCAUGCAUGUUCCCCUGUGGUCCUUGUAACAAUGACGAGAAAUUGGCCCCUUCAGGGGAAAGAGCCCUGAGGGGGAGGAAGGGAUGAGAGAGGCACAGAAGCCCACCAGGCUGGGCUGCGUCCUAACUUCUGCGGAACGUGGGCUGCAGAUCCCAGUAAGUGGUCAGCAUGGCUCGGCCAUGGCCCACCUGGUCAUUCACUCACUCACCCAUCCACCCACCCAUCCCUCUACCCAUCCACCCAUCCAUCCAUUCAUCCUUCCAUCCAUCCACCCAUCCAUCCACCCAUCCAUCCACCCAUCCACCCAUCCGUCCACCCAUCCCUCCCUCUGUCCACCCAUCCACCCGUCCACCCAUCCGUCCACCCAUCCAUCCACCCAUCCAAACCCUCUUAUUAACCACACUGUUCCUUGAGUGUUACCCACCCAGGUAGUAAAAUCUGAUUUUUCUGGGAUCCAGUGGGGACCAGAAGGAGGCCAGUGAAGGAAACAGUGGGAAGGAGGUUUUGAAAGGAGUGGGAGAGCUCGGUAUUGAUCAGCAGCCCCUCCGGAGGCGUUCUGCCCCCUUGCCCAGCCUGGCCAGGCUGGGGCCAUUGGGGGCCCUGGGCCCCACCCUGAGGGCACAAUCGAGCAGCAGCACAUCCAUGCCUCCCCAACCCGGCCAGGCCCGUACUGGCUCCUGCAUCUGCACGGCCCACCCCGUCCAGCACUGGCGCCGCUCCGAUAAUGUCCACCCGGGGUUGGGGGGGUGCCCUCUUGCCCACAAUUCCUCCUAGGUCGGUUUUGCAGGGAAGUGUGCCCGGUGGCCUGCUUCCUGGCCAGCACUCAGCCCCUACAUCUGCAAAUGGGGGCCAGCGAACACCAACCCUCAUGGCCUCUUGGGGUUUUCAAGACAAGAUGAGAAAAUAUAAGGGUUCAGGACUUGCAAAAACUGCUACGGAAACAGAAGCUAUGACUAACAUCUCUGUUCUGUUUUCUCAAGUGGCCUCAGUUUUCCUACCCGUGAGAUAUGCAGGUUGCAGGAAUUGGUAACGCACAGCACCAGGAAGCAGGUUGGACCCAGAGAGCCAGCCUCCGCAUACUUCGUACCCACUGUGUGACCUCAGACUUGUCGCUUCACCUCUCUGAGCCUGUAUUUCUGGUCAUGCAUGAUGCGACACUGGUCACAGGACAUGCUAUGGGAUUUUGGUGAGAUCCCCACACGCAGAUUUACACAGGCUGCCCCCCAUGCUCCCAUGGAAAAUGCCUGCUCAGAAACCUCCAUUCCUCCCAUUCCCACUCUGCGUUCUGAGGCUCUCUGGUUAUUUGUUUCGGGUCCCGGUCCCCUCCCUGCACAGGACAAGUUUGUUUUGGAGAAAGCAAGCUUUCCCCUGAACCUUUAUUAAACCUGAACCACGACUGCAGGGUUCCCGGGGCUGGGGGGUAGGGGGGGUUGUGCUGCAAGAUGUUUCUCAUGUGGACCAUUUAGUUAUGAGAAUCCUGGCGCCCAGGAAAGUCCUGUGCCAUCUGUGCUAUGAGCCAGGAACUGAGGUGACACAUCCUGUGCCUGUGGGAACCUCGAUCUCACGCUGGCCCGGAGCUCAUGAUGGUCCCUGGGCCCCUUGGAUCACCAAUCUGUCCCUGGUAUUCUGUUCAUGACUCACCAAGGAACACAAUCGGACAAAGGCUGACAUGCUGUUGGGCAGUGUCUCUCUGCCAGGGUGACACUGCCCUUCAGGGGUCAUCGGGCAGCAUCUGGAGUCGCUUUUCGCUUGCCACACUACAGCCCGUGAGGUGCAACUGGCACCAAGGCCAGGGCUGCUGCUGAGGGUCCCACAAUGCCAGGACAGCCUCUCAUCGUACCAGUUUCUGCAGCCCCCAUGUCUGCAGUUCUAAGCACAAGAAGCCCGGCUUGAGGGGACAGCAACUUUCAGCAAGAAGGAUGGUCUGGCCCCGGUUCUGGUUGGGGCUCGGAGGCCCCUGGACUGUGGCCCUGAGCCCUGUGGGGAAGCAAAGUUAUUGCUUGUUCCUCCCCUUGUGUACUUCCUGGGAGCCACGGUCAACGCUCAGGAUGGGCUCUGGGGCCCCUCUCCUUGGGUCGCACCUCGGACCACCCAUGAGCACCCCUUCCUUGCGUCCCCAGGUCACAGCGUGGGGCAUAGCAAAGAUGAGCAGGACACCAAGCUCCCAGCCAGGUUCCCAGCCCCAGGCGACCCCUACACAGACCCCAUGAGUCCCCCUGCACCAGACCCCAGCCCAGUGUUUCAGCAUUUCCCGGACACCAGCCCUUGCUGGGGACCUUCCCACUUCUGUCAAGGAGCCCCCUGCCCCCGGCCUGGGAGGAUCCCCUUCCCCUAGGGCCCUCGGCUGCCUGUGGCCAGAGCCCCAGUGAAUCCUCCUCUGGCUGCUUCCUGCACUCACUCACCCUUUGCUUUUUCCAGCCCUGCUCCCCCAAGCCUGCCCUCCUAGCAGGGUCUCUGUCCUUGGACCCACCGUCCCCUGACUUGUCCCCUGAGCCUAUGGUCACUUCUCUUCUCAAGAACCAUCAGGGUCCCUACAGCUGGGAGAAUGAAGUGCACACCUGUUGGCCUGAGUUCAAGGCCUUCCAUGUCAGGCCCAUAAACAUGUGUCCAACACGAUGGACUCGACUGCCUUCCGGCCACGCUGUCCAGCUGAUGGACUGAGCAUGGGUCACCUGCAUCCCAGCCCCAGGCUCCUACCACAGUCACCCACCUGGUGUGCUUCUCCUCACACCCCGCAGGCCUGAGCCUUCCUUCUGCGUCCCACCCGGCAUCCCACCUGGCGUCCCACCUGGCACCAGUGCUCGUGGGGUCCUCUCCAUCCAUGAAUUCCUCAGGCAGCUCUGUGAGGCAGGUUGGACUCCCCUCACGAGACGAGGAGCGGGUAGCCCUUUGGCUCAGGUCACAUGGCUAGGAUGUGGUUGGCCACGAAUGGGGUCGAACCGUUCUUUACCUGCAAUCCCCUGCCCCUGCUGCUUCAACAUUCCUCUCCCCAGUCCCACCUCCUUAAGGAAGCCCUCUGGGCUGUCCAGCUCCUGGUGCUUACUCUACACUCUACUUGCCAACUUCCGCUCAGGAUGACACUCGGCCUUUGUCACCUUCCCACAUACGUUGGCCGGUGCUGAAUCGCAAGCCAUCCCUGGCACCCCAAGGGUACUUUCAUUCCUUCUGCCUGCUCACCCAGUUCCUUCUGCACACCUCCACCACCACCCCUCUGCUUUCCCUUACCUGCUCCAGCUUCCAGACACCGGGACUAUCGAAGAGCCGGUCUUUCCCUUGGGCUGUGAGCUGCCAGUGUUUCCACAGGGGCUCAUGUCAAGCUCCCAUGUGAACACGGGGCAGAGAGGAGCAGCAUGAUUGGUCCUCCUGACUCAGCACACCAGUGGCCCUGGAACCACCAAAGCCCAGCUCGCUGCAAGCAAACCAAGGUCCAGAGAAGUUCACUCAAAGCCCCGCAACUCGAGGCACAGCAGUGGAGCUGUGAUGGGCACCCAGGCUCCUGUCCCUGAUGAGGGCUCUUGGUGAAUGCAGCGGCUGAUGCAACAGUCCUGGGGUAGACAAGGCUCCCGACCUGACGGGCUUUGGCUCUUGCCCUCCACCAUGCUGCCCACCAAAAGCCACUCCCUUUCUCCAGGAAGUGUGACCCGAGGACCCACCUCUGCCAGCCGGGUGGAUGCCCUGAUCAUGGGUUUCCCCCACCCCGUCUCUGUGGAGUGGAAACACAGAUGCUUUCCACUGACCCACGGACGCCUCCCCGGCCUCCUAACGCAGACAGCAAGCUCCCAACGCCUCCCAGCCCUUCACCCCGUCGGCCUCAGCCAGUCUGCUGGCGGGUUUGGGCACCUGAGGACACGGUUCGUCCUUCUGCCUCCUGAUUUAUUACCCGCCUCUCCUCCCCGGAAUGAAAGCUUGAUGAGGGCAGAGGCCCAUUGGGGGCACCGUUCGUGGGCGGUGCUGGCCUAGUGCCCGGGACACAGUCGGUGUUCAAUAGAUGUAUCCGCCAAGUGAAUGCGUGCAUGUGGUUUGCCACACAGCAUGACCGUCCCUUGUCUCCUGCUCCGUUUCCCGCUUGAAUUUGUGGCCCUCAUAAGAAAGGACGGGGUUUUCCUGGUAACAGGCAUGUCAUCAAGAGAGGUCAGUGGGGACUGUUGAACGGACGCAUUUGAUGAAAGCACAGGCCAGCAGGAAGUAGGGAGAGUCUGAGGGGGGUUUUCAACAUCCUUUUCUAGUGGAUGCCUCUGACGGCGGGGGGGCGGGGGUUGCCCCAUGGCCUGGCUUCCCCGCUGCCCCCCAUGGCACGCCCCCCCUCCGCCAUGCCCCAGGCGCCCUGAGAGUGCUCUGCAGCGGCUGAGAAAGCCCGGGGUCAGAGCCGGAGUCUGGGCAGCAGCAGGGCAGCAGCAGGGACGGUGGGCGGCUGGAGGCCUCCUGGCUUGAGGUGAGCAGCCAGCCCUCCGCCCACGGGCCCCCUCACCACCCUGCGGGCUUCUCUGCAGACGCUGCCUGCGCGUCACUUCUGCUUUGAGCAACACCCAUCCCUGUAAUCACUCCGGCACAGCAGGUUCCUCUUUGGGGAGCCCAGCCCACCAGCCGGCACAGCCACACGGCUGCGGGUUCGGAGCCUGCAGCCCAGAGUCCAGCCCGGCUGGAGGAGGGUGAGGCCGCCUGUGACUCAGGCCUGCCCUCCCUGAGGUCGCCUCUGCCCCCGGACACCCCAGGGAGGCCGUGGAUCAGCACGGGGCCCCAGAUUCCAGUCCCAGCUCUAAGCACUCGCUGGCUCGGGUGUGACCCUGACGUGGCCGCCCCGCCUCACAGUGCCCCAGCAUGCUCAACUCUAAAAUGGGGGCAACAGUAGUGCCCCCAGGGAUGUGUGGGGAGGGUUCAGUGACUGGACAGAAAGAGAUGAACAUGGAGUCUGCUGGGUUCCCACAUGUGAGUGACGUCAGACAUGCUGUGACACAGCCCAGGAUGUCCGUGUGGCUCCUCCUGCUCAGAGCACACCAUCCCAGGGGGCCUGAACCCCCCUCCUGGUGGGGGGUUUGGAAGCAAGGAUAUCAGGGCACCUGGGGGGCUCUGUCAGUUAAACGUCUGACUCUUGCUGUUGGCUCUGGUCAUGGUCUCAGGGUCGUGAGAUCCAGCCUCAUGUUGGGCUCCAUGCUCAGCAGGGAGUCUGCUUGGGAUUCCCUCCACCUCUGUCUGUCCCCCCCGCCUGUGCGUGCUCUCUCUCUCAAAUAAAUAAAUAAAUCUUAAAAAAAAAAAAUCAAGGUUAUGUUUUGCUUCCAGCCUGACCCUUACUUUCUCUCUGUCUCUCCCUCUCUCUGCCCAGGAGGGUUCAUGAAACCUCCCUCUGCCUAGAUCCCUGGAUGACCACAUGGAGCACAGCCCAUGCCCAGCCUCGCCCUCCUCCGUUCACCUGGGCUACGAGUGAGAAAUGAGCUCUUGCCGGAUGACACUGCAGGGUUUACCUGUCAGAGCAGCAAGCCUUUUUCCUCAACUAAUUGUCGACUUACCUACCCAUCUAUGGCUCUUCUAAAAAGGCCAGAAACAAACCCACCAAAACACUAAUUGCCUUUUUCAAUAAUAAACAUUAUUGACUUCCAGGUAUCCCAAGGUGGCUCAGCAGUUGAGCAUCUGUCUUCGUCUCAGGGUGUGAUCCUGGAGUCCCGGGAUCGAGCCCCAUAUCGAGCUCCCUACAGGGAGCCUGCUUCUCCCUCUGCCUGUGUCUCUGACUCUGUCUCUCAUGAAUUAAUAAAUAAAAUCUUUA